GACGAACGCUGGCGGCGUGCUUAACACAUGCAAGUCGAACGGAAAGGCCUCUUUCGGGGGGUACUCGAGUGGCGAACGGGUGAGUAACACGUGAGUAACCUGCCCUUGACUUUGGGAUAACUUCAGGAAACUGGGGCUAAUACCGGAUAGGAGCUCCUGCUGCAUGGUGGGGGUUGGAAAGUUUCGGCGGUUGGGGAUGGACUCGCGGCUUAUCAGCUUGUUGGUGGGGUAGUGGCUUACCAAGGCUUUGACGGGUAGCCGGCCUGAGAGGGUGACCGGCCACAGUGGGACUGAGAUACGGCCCAGACUCCGACGGGAGGCAGCAGUGGGGAAUAUUGCACAAUGGGUGGAAGCCCGAUGCAGCAACGCCGUGUGCGGGAUGACGGCCUUCGGGUUGUAAACCGCUUUCGCUCAUGACGAAGCUUUGUGUGACGGUAGUGGGUAAAGAAGCACCGGCUAACUACGUG
rnacentral:rRNA from 1 species